rnacentral:rRNA from 1 species
CCCUUAGAUGUUCUGGGCAGCACGCGCGCUACAAUGGUCUUCGCAAACGGAUGCAUUCUCGAAGGAGAAUGCCAAUCUUGGAAUCUAUGCCUUGGUCGGGACAGUUGCUUGCAAUUUUUCGACUCGAACCAGGAAUUCCUUGUAAUCGUGAUUCAUCACAUCACGAUGAAUACGUCCCUGCCCUUUGUACACACCGCCCGUCGCUCCUACCGAUCGAAGAGUUAGGUGAAUUGUUUUGAUCGAUAAGAUUUGACUAUGUUCAACUCUCGUUGAGAAAUUCUGUGAAUCUGACUGUUUAGAGGAAGGAAAAGUCGUAACA